rnacentral:rRNA from 1 species
UACAGAGGGUGCGAGCGUUAAUCGGAAUUACUGGGCGUAAAGCGUGCGUAGACGGUUAUUUAAGUCGGGUGUGAAAGCCCCGGGCUCAACCUGGGAAUUGCAUUCGAGACUGAAUAGCUAGGGUACGGUAGAGGGAAGUGGAAUUUCCGGUGUAGCGGUGAAAUGCGUAGAUAUCGGAAGGAACAUCAGUGGCGAAGGCGGCAUCCUGGACCGGUAUUGACGCUGAGGCGCGAAAGCCAGGGGAGCAAACGGG